CUACGGGCGGCAGCAGUCGAGAGGCUUCGUCAAUGGGGGCAACCCUGAACGAGCGACGCCGCGUGAGCGAUGAAGGUCGUAAGAUCGUAAAGCUCUGUUAGUGGGGAAGAAACCCCGGGGUGCUAAUACCACCACGGCUUGACGUUACCCACAAAGAAAGCUCCGGCUAACUCCGUGCCAGCAGCCGCGGUAACACGGGGGGAGCAAACGUUGUUCGGAAUCACUGGGCGUAAAGGGCGCGUAGGCGGCCUGGUCAGUGAAACGUGAAAGCCCCUGGCUCAACCAGGGAAUGUCGUUUCAUACUGCCAGGCUUGAGGACGGGAGAGGAGAGGGGAAUUCCCGGUGUAGCGGUGAAAUGCACUGAUAUCGGGAGGAACACCAGUGGCGAAGGCGCCUCUCUGGCCCGUUCCUGACGCUCAGGCGCGAAAGCAGGGGGAGCAAACAGGAUUAGAUACCCUUGUAGUC
rnacentral:rRNA from 1 species